UACGGAGGGGGGCGAGCGUUAAUCGGAAUUACUGGGCGUAAAGCGUGUGUAGGCGGCUUCGCAAGUUGGAUGUGAAAUCCCACGGCUCAACCGUGGACGUGCAUCCAAAACUGCGUCGCUAGAGUCUCGGAGAGGAAGGUGGAAUGCUUGGUGUAGAGGUGAAAUUCGUAGAUAUCAAGCAGAACACCUGCGGCGAAGGCGGCCUUCUGGACGAUGACUGACGCUGAGACACGAAAGCGUGGGGGAGCAAACAGG
rnacentral:rRNA from 1 species